rnacentral:rRNA from 1 species
AUGAACGCUGGCGGCGUGCUUAACACAUGCAAGUCGAACGGAAAGGCUCCUGCUUGCAGGGGUACUCGAGUGGCGAACGGGUGAGUAACACGUGGGUGAUCUGCCCUGCACUUCGGGAUAAGCCUGGGAAACUGGGUCUAAUACCGGAUAGGACGAUGGUUUGGAUGCCAUUGUGGAAAGUUUUUCGGUGUGGGAUGAGCUCGCGGCCUAUCAGCUUGUUGGUGGGGUAAUGGCCUACCAAGGCGUCGACGGGUAGCCGGCCUGAGAGGGUGUACGGCCACAUUGGGACUGAGAUACGGCCCAGACUCCUACGGGAGGCAGCAGUGGGGAAGAUUGCACAAUGGGCGCAAGCCUGAUGCAGCGACGCCGCGUGGGGGAUGACGGCCUUCGGGUUGUAAGCUCCUUUCGCUAGGGACGAAGCGUUUUGUGACGGUACCUGGAGAAGAAGCACCGGCUAACUACGUG